rnacentral:tRNA from 1 species
GGGGCUAUAGCUCAGUUGGUAGAGUGCCUGCUUUGCAUGCACAAGGCCCUGGGUUCGACUCCCAGCACCA